CCGGCCCAGCCGCGAUGCAGCGGGGCAGGAGCGGCUCCGGUCUCCGGUGCUGCGGGAGGUUUGUGAGGUUGCCUGUCGGCGUGGGGCCGCAGCGCACGGCCCGCAGAGGCGCGGCCUCGAGGCUGCCGGUAGGAGGUGGCUCUGGCCUGGCCGUGCGCCUGCGUCUCGGAGCUAUCUCAGGCCGGUGGGACACCAGCAGCAGCUGGCAGGGCUGACAGCUUCCAGCAGCAUUACAUGGCCAUGAAUCAGAGUCCGACCUGGAACAUGCCUGGAAGGAAUCAGCGUGUCAGAUCUGGUGUGCAGCUCCCACAGGCCAGAGCUGUUGCCUUCAGUACCUGGGAAGUGCAGACAUUUGUUGCCUAACAAGCUUUAACAACAUGACUGUGCUUGACUGUCAUGAUCCUGGUGGAAGUCCUCCCACAGAAGUGGUGGCUGCAACCUUCCCAUUUCAUCUGGAUUUUAAUUGCCUCCUGCAGAUCCACCCUAAAUGCCAAGGAGAGGUUGUGCCAGUGCUUUGCCCCCCACUUUGCCAAAUGCAAAGCUGUAAUUCAAUUCUAACUCACAAAUAAACUACUCAUAUUUUUCCACGA